ACUCCCUACGGGGGGCAGCAGUGGGGAAUAUUGCACAAUGGGGGAAACCCUGAUGCAGCGACGCCGCGUGAGCGAUGAAGUAUUUCGGUAUGUAAAGCUCUAUCAGUAGGGAAGAAAAUGACGGUACCUGACUAAGAAGCCCCGGCUAACUACGUGCCAGCAGCCGCGGUAAUACGUAGGGGGCAAGCGUUAUCCGGAUUUAUUGGGUUUAAAGGGUGCGUAGGCGGAAUAUCAAGUCAGCGGUAAAAAUUCGGGGCUCAACCCCGUCGUGCCGUUGAAACUGAUGUUCUUGAGUGGGCGAGAAG
rnacentral:rRNA from 1 species